rnacentral:misc_RNA from 1 species
AUGAUUUUUUAAAGCGAGUCGAGCGUUAAGCGAGGCUUGUGAAGAUAUUUAAAACCCCACUCUUUAACUUCAAAAAAUAAAUCAUGAUACAUGAAUUUAAAAAAAGA